rnacentral:lncRNA from 1 species
UUUGAAGUUUUGAAUCCUCCAAUUAAGGUGGGAAUCAAUUUAUUAAAAUUUUUUAUUGGUUUGAUUUCAAUUUUUUUUAGAGUUUAGAAAAUGAGUAUUUGAAUUUCAAUUGUUUUUCGUCAAUCCAGACUGGGCAUAGUCUGAACUUUCUGCAACAGCCGUAAGCAGAAAAAUUACGACUUUGUUGAUGUUUGUGGGAUUUUCUAAAGCAAAUCUUUAUGAAUGUCGUGUUUGUUUCAAUAUUAAGUUUAACUAUUGGCGUGUUUGUUUCAAAUACAAAAUUAUUAGAGAUUAAUUCCAAGAGUUCGGACCAACCAGGUCCAUUAUCUCUAAACAAUCACAAUCUGAAGUCUUUGAGAAGACAUAAUUAAUAGUUUGGAACUGCUUAUCCAACAACCACCUAUGAAAUGAAAAUGAAAUCAAAUACUGAUCAAAACUAACUAAGAUGAAAACUGGAUGGGGCAAUUAGAAUGCAGAAGGUAGAUUACCUCAUCAGAAUUACAACUUCUAAUAAAUUGGUUGGGGCAACAAGAAAUCCGGAAGGUAGAUAACCUCAUCAAAAUUACAACUUCUUGAAAUAUUUAAACGAAUAAUUAAAUCACAGUUAUAAUCCAACAAACUGUAGAAAAAAAUUAACCAGAACGUAAGGAAAAGAUGAAUUGCUUAAUCCCAAAUAAUACGUUCCAGAAUUAGGAGCACUUCGAAUUUUUGUGAAAACAAUUAAUCAAACAAACAACGACAACUUACGUUAACAGUGGAGUCGUUCUUUUUUGAAAGAACAAAAAUUUGCAGAGAGGAAAGUUGGUAUGUGAAGAGAAGGUGAUGGGUUAUUAUUGUGGUAGUCUUAAUAGCAACCCAAGUAACUCGUUUGGCUGAGAGAGAGGGCAUGGGUCUUGGUUUGGUAGAGAGAGAAAGCAAAUGGGUGUAAAGAUAACUAUAGAUUUUGAUGUGGGUUUGGAAUGGUAGUUUAGGUAAUAAAUUUGAGUUUAAAGAGAUACUAAUUCUUUAAUGAAAAAUAAUAUAGGUGUAAAGAGUAAGUUGAAUGUAGAAAGAUAUUACAUGAGUUCAAAUAAAAUUUUCCAUUACGGAAUGUAAAACUAAAAGGAAGGAGCAGGAAAGGCUCAUACGAUUUUGCCGGAAUCCUGGCCUCUAAAUUCUAAUGCGUUACAUUAGGGCUGUUAACAUGCAAUAUCAUCUACAAGUUCGGCACAAUUAAUGGUAAUUACAAUCAUUUGAUGUUUAUUUUGUUAAAUAAACAAUGACAGAUAUUGACUACACAGAGAGAGAGAGAGAGAGAGAGAGAGAGAGAGAGAGAGAGAGGAAGGAGCCUUGGAUGGAAGGGAAGGGAUGGUGGAUGUAAUAUUUAUGGUAAUUACAAUCAUUUGAUGUUUAUUUUGUUAAAUAAACAAUGACAGAUAUUGACUACAGAGAGAGAGAAAGAAAAUAAACAAUGACAGAUAUUGACUACAGAGAGAGAGAGAGAGAGAGAGAGAGAGAGAGAGAGAGAGAGAGAGAGGAGCCUUGGAUGGAUCAUGAAGGAAAGGGAUGGUCCAUGUAUAAUUUAUUAAUUUGUUAGGUCAACAAUGGCCAUAGUGUUAUAGCCUCAUAGGACAUAUGACCAUGCGAGUGGGUGUAAAAAAUAUAGUACAUGUUGUUGUCACACAGGUCUCCGUCUCAUACCAAACAUAAAUUAAUAUCAAGUUUUAGACUACAUGGUUUAUGCCCUUAUUGUUCUAACUGUUAGAUUUCAUCUGAACAAUUCAGAAUGUGAUAUGCAAGUAGUUUGAAGAUUGUUGUUAUACUCCUCUUAUGAAGCAAGAACUUUUAGCUCAUGUAGUUGAAUAAGAAUGUUGAUCCAUAUGUCGUAAAGUCUUUUGUUCGAAGUCUCACUCUCCCACUAUCACUUCCACAUUAGAAACAAAAAAUCUUCUUUAUGAAAAAAAAAAAUAAAGAGAAGUAUUUUCACAAAUUUGAUGAUAUAAGCAAGCAUAGACACAAUAAUAAAACAAAUUUAAAUGACAUAUUAUGUGAUGUUAUUAAUUUACACCUUAUAAUGUCAAUGAAACGAAAUUUUAUAUUUAAAAAUAAGUGGACCAAUAACAACACAAAACAAUGCUCAUCCUAGAAGACAGCCUAAUAAACCAUGUUUAGGAGGGGAUAAAGUUUGGUAAAUGGGUUAGGCUUCAGUUAAGCACAUCUCAUGGACCCAAUAUUACCCAUAUUUGAAAAUAUUUGAGGCCAUCACCAAUGGGACGCAAGUGCAAAAGGUUUUUUUUGAAUUACGGUGUGCUACGCGCGACUUAAACGUUUUAAAUGUAUUUAUAUGCAUAAAUUGACAAAAGGAAAAUCAAAUAUUUGAAAUAAAUGAAUAAUCUUAGAUCAUGCUAGAAUAAACCUCUCAUAAACCAAUUAAAGUAACUGAAUUCACAUAAUAAAAUCAGUCUCUAUUGAAUUUAUAUUAAGAAUAGAGGAAAUAAUAUUUAACAAACAACUGAUUGAAUUAUAUUAUUGAUAACCCAUUGUGAGGCUAAGCCCACCCCCUCCUCAUUAGUAUAGAUAAUAUCGUUUGUUCAAAAAAUAAAAUCAUUUGACAACUAAUUUAAUCACAUUAUUAUCUACGUGCAAAAGACUUUUUUUUUAUAACCAGCGUUACACGCCUCUUAAGAUGUUUUGAACGUGUUGAUAAAUAAAGAAAAUAAUAUUAAAUAAACAACUGAUUGAAUCACAUUAUUGUUAGCCUAUUGUGAGGUACUUAUUAUUUUAAAAAAAAAACUGUACAAAAAAAUUUAAUUAUUAAAAAAACAUUAUUAAAAUGACGAAAAUACCCCUACCACAUUUGUUGCAUUAUUUUGAAUUGCUUUUGAAGUUUUUGGUUUGAGGGGCAUUUUUGUCCCUUUAUUAGUGAAGCUUGUGACACCAAAAAACACUGUUCAUUGGGCUAUUGGCUUUAUAUAUAAUGAUCAAUGACUAAAAUAUCGAUAAUAUCGACGAAAUAUCGCUGAUAUUAUCGUUUUUCAUAAAGACCGAUAUUUUCCUACGUAUCCCCCUAAUUGUCGUCAAAAUAUCACGAUAUUAUCGAUAAUAUCGAUAAUAUCGUGAUAUAUUCGAUAUUAUCGAAACAAUCGUCGUGGCUUCGUCGUCGGAAAGGCAGCUGAGGCUGCGUCGUCGUAGCUGCCCAUAUCUCUCUCUGCAAUCCAGGCUCAGACCCAAGAUCUGGUCCUCUGUUGUCAGAAAUGAAAAAUCC